AACGAACGCUGGCGGCAUGCUUAACACAUGCCAGUCGAGCGAGACCUUCGGGUCUAGCGGCGGACGGGUGAGUACCGCGUGGUAACGUACCCUUCUCUACGCUAUCCCUCCCGGAAGGUGGGCGUCAUGCCAUAUACGCUCAUACGGGGUAGGAUUUAUCGGUGCAGGAUCGGCGCGCGUUGGAUUCGGUGGUUGGUGGGGGAAUAGCCCCCCAUGCGGACGAUCCAUAGCUGGUAUGAGAGGAGGAUCAUCCACACUGGGACUGAGACACGGCCCAGACUCCGACGGGACGCAGCAGUGGGGAAUCUUAGACAAGGGGGGCAACCCUGAUCAAGCCAUGCCGGGGAAGUGAGGAAGGCCGUAGGGUUGUAAAGCUCUCUCAGCUGGGAAGAUAAUGACGGUACCGGCAGAAGAAGCCCCGGCUAACUCCGUG
rnacentral:rRNA from 1 species